rnacentral:lncRNA from 1 species
CAGAUCAGCCCCGAGCGCGGGGCGAUGAGCGGCUAACGGUCCCGUCGGGCGGGCUUUCCUCGGGCCAGAGGCGCAGGGCGUGCGCCCAGCUAUGCGGUGUCCCGGGAGACGGCGGGCAUGACGGCGGCAGGAUGGGCGCGAACAAUGGCAAGCAGUACGGCAGUGAGGGCAAAGGCAGCUCAAGCAUCUCAUCCGACGUGAGUUCAAGUACAGAUCACACGCCGACCAAAGCCCAGAAGAAUGUGGCUACCAGCGAAGGUAGGCAUCUGGUCUUCAUUAUCUCCCUCCUUCUCUUCACAAGGCUGGCUAUUUUUGGAAGACAAAGAAAAUGUGGGAGUUUUAGUUCUGUGCUACAGAGUGGAAGUGUAUGAGGUUAUUCAAAAGAAGGUGAAGAUCUCUCAAAAAGUUUCUUUUUGGUUGCACUGUUACUGUUAUUCAUCACUAUUGAGUUGAUAGGAUUUAAGUGUCUUGAUUCUAAGGCAGAUGCCAUUACUUUGUGAAGAUACAACAGGCUGAUUUAAGGGAAGUCUUUAGGAUAUUAUGUACUUUUCUUUUUGGUACCGGGGAACAAACUCAGGACCUUGCGCUUGUGAGGCAGGCGACAGAACCACUGAGCUAACUCCCGGCCUAUUUAUUUGUUUUUUAGUAUGGAAAACAGUAUGAUCAUAAAACCACUGUGCUGCAGUGGAAAGCUUCUACAAGAACUUGUGAAAUAGUGCACCUGGAACUAAAGAUUUUGCCAAUAGGAAGGUCAUGGUCAGUGUAAUUUUUAGAACUUGAAUUAAUCGCCAACAUUUUGGAGAAGAAAAUAAAUUUGUUUAAUUAAAGAAUAAGUGAAAAGUUGUGCCAAUCAGGGCAAAGAUUGGUCUCAUUGGUAUUCUUGAUGCAGAAUUUUGACAUCUGUGUUUGUAAAAUACAUGUUGGAAUUUAAUUGCUUCACAGUACUAUAGAAGGAAUGAGUUAUUACCCCAUUGAAUGAGGAAUUGUUUUUCUGGUAGGGAUUUAGUGUAAAGUUGACCCAAUUAUAGAAUCCACUCCUUUCAUUUGAAUGUUAAACAUGAUUAAGUGCCUUCUUUUCUGAAGUUCAGUUGUUUCUCAACUAAUUGCCCAAUGAAAGUCUAGUGGGAACAUCAGUUGAGUGACUGUGAAGUGUCAGCUUGUUUUCACGGUGUUUGAGCUUUCCUUCCUAGAGUAUGCAGAGUGUCGUAGAGACCUACAUGUAAUUUCUGAGGCUCAAUGUCUGCUGCUCAUGACAUCGGGAAACAUGCUGAGGGUGGCCUGUGGGCUUCUUUGAUUGCUCUUGCUCUGUGUUACAGUUUACACAUUAAUGAUGACGGUUUCCCUCUGCUGGUGUGUAUCUUCUAUUUGCAUUUUUAAAUUUUUUUUAAGAGUAGGAACAAUUUAUUGAGAGAAAGAUAGAUUUGUCUCUUCUGACUAAGAGAGACAAAAGGGGGACCGGAAAAUGGGAUGCCCCUGCAUUUUAAAAAUUGUGUUUAUUUCAGGUACCACAGAAAUACCUUCUCUGGGGUACUUACUCCUCAAUGGAUGCCUAAAGAGUUUUUACAACUGGAUUAUGUUCUCUUUCAUUUAAAACCUCAGCAUUGUUUGAUAUACAUCACCCACAUUGUAAGGAAGACAGAUUAUAGUGUUUCCCUCUGUGCAUCGAAGCACCAGGAAGCAAUCCAAUUUUAAUUUUCUGCCUGUUGAUUCAAAUAUGGCUAUUAGACCGUUCUUGAAAUUCAGUUAAGUUAAUGUGCGCAUCUGUUUAAUUUGCGUUUGAGGGUCUCGUUCUUAGAAGCUAGAGUGCAAAUCACUUCAACUUAAUUUCAAUGUGAUCUUCUCUAGGGAGAAGUGUGUUUGGGGAGAUAAUCACUCCUUUCCACCAUAAUUUUUGCAGUCCUUCUUACCACAGUGAUUUGUCUAAUUUGAGUAGCACUGAAAAUAGAAAGUUAAACAUUUAAAUAAUCUGUGUGUCUCUGCAUUUAAGUUUUCUUAUUAUUUUCCCCUUCCUUUUGAAAAUAGGAAAUCCAGAACUAUGAGGUUUGUUGCAGGAGGUGGGGAAGGGGACUAUGGGGCUUUCGGUAUUUAAAAAUAUCUACUCUUUAUGCUUAAAAAAUUACUUCUACAGGGACUUCAAAUUUUCGCUUUCUUUUGCCAGUCUCCUAGGAGGGUAUGCAGGCCUAGCCAAUGUUUUAUGUGUCUUCUGUCAUUCUGAGAGUAGAGCUAGGGGAGAAAAACGGGUAUGUUUCAUAUGAAACAGAAUUUUUAGCAACUGUGUUAAAUUAGUAUGAAACUUCUUCCUAGAUCUUAAGAGGAAGAACUUUAUCCAUUUGAAAGAUGCUAUUCAUUUGCUUGCAUAACUGAAAAAGUUUGGAAAAAAUGUUAAUUUUUCUAUUUUUGUGUAUGAAUUCAUUGUGUUACAGAUUUUUAAUCAGUGGAAAUUCAAAAUGUUAAAAAAUAAAUGGUGUGUGGGUUUAGUUACAUAAAAAUGUACUUCAGGGGCAUCUAUUGGAUUUUUGAGGUGAAGCCAGGGUAGCCACAGUUAAUUUUCCCCCGGCACAGGUGACAGAGCCCUGGCUCACCCCUCCAGUGAUUAUGGCAGCCCAUUCUGACUCUGGCACUGGAAUUGCUGCACGGGGUGGGAGUUGUUUCCUGCUGUAAGGCACUUGGGUAACCCCUGAAUGCAACGCUGAGGUGAACAGACGGGCGAGGGCUGGCUUCUCAGACAGACUCCAGUGGGGCUUCUUGAGCAGGGUGUGGUAGCCCAUGCCUGUAGAACCCCAGCACUCUGGGAGGCUGAAGCAGGACUGUGAGUUCCAGCCCAGCCUGGGCAAUUUAGCUACUUAGUGAGACCCUGUCUCCUAGUAAAAUAUUUAAUAAGGGUUGAGAUUGUAGUUCAGUGCCAAGGUUUUGGGUUUGAUACCCAGUAUUCCCUCCCCCAAUAAAAAGGUCACCUUCCUCUUCCUAUGUUUCUGUUGUUUUCAAGAAUGUUUAACUUUGAUGUCAAGAAC